CUUAAGCAUAUCAAUAAGCGGAGGAAAAGAAACCAACAGGGAUUACCUCAGUAACGGCGAGUGAAGCGGUAACAGCUCAAAUUUGAAAUCUGGCUCUUUCAGGGUCCGAGUUGUAAUUUGUAGAAGAUGCUUUGGGUGUGGCCCGGGUCUAAGUUCCUUGGAACAGGACGUCAUAGAGGGUGAGAAUCCCGUAUGUGACCCGGCGCUUUCGCCCGUGUAAAGCUCUUUCGACGAGUCGAGUUGUUUGGGAAUGCAGCUCAAAAUGGGUGGUAAAUUUCAUCUAAAGCUAAAUAUUGGCCAGAGACCGAUAGCGCACAAGUAGAGUGAUCGAAAGAUGAAAAGCACUUUGGAAAGAGAGUUAAACAGUACGUGAAAUUGUUGAAAGGGAAGCGCUUGCAACCAGACUUAGGCGCGGCCGAUCAUCCAGGGUUCUCCCUGGUGCACUCGGUCGUCUCUAGGCCAGCAUCGGUUUGGGUGGUGGGAUAAAGGCCUUGGGAAUGUAGCUUCUUUCGGGGAGUGUUAUAGCCCUCGGUGCAAUGCCGCCUACCUGGACCGAGGACCGCGCUUCGGCUAGGAUGCUGGCGUAAUGGUUGUAAGCGACCCGUCUUGAAACACGGACCAAGGAGUCUAACAUCUAUGCGAGUAUUUGGGUGUCAAACCCAUAUGCGUAAUGAAAGUGAACGGAGGUGAGAACCCUUAAGGGUGCAUCAUCGACCGAUCCUGAUGUCUUCGGAUGGAUUUGAGUAAGAGCAUAGCUGUUGGGACCCGAAAGAUGGUGAACUAUGCCUAAAUAGGGUGAAGCCAGAGGAAACUCUGGUGGAGGCUCGCAGCGGUUCUGACGUGCAAAUCGAUCGUCAAAUUUGGGUAUAGGGGCGAAAGACUAAUCGAACCAUCUAGUAGCUGGUUCCUGCCGAAGUU
rnacentral:rRNA from 1 species